UACGUAGGUGGCAAGCGUUGUCCGGAUUUACUGGGCGUAAAGAGCGCGCAGGCGGUCGUUCAAGUCGCGUGUGAAAGCCCCCGGCUCAACUGGGGAGGGUCACGCGAUACUGAUCGACUCGAAGGCAGGAGAGGGUAGUGGAAUUCCCGGUGUAGUGGUGAAAUGCGCAGAUAUCGGGAGGAACACCAGUAGCGAAGGCGGCACCCUGGGCCGGUACUGACGCUGAGGAGCGAAAGCGUGGGGAGCGAACAGG
rnacentral:rRNA from 1 species